rnacentral:rRNA from 1 species
UACGGGGGGGGCAAGCGUUGUUCGGAAUUACUGGGCGUAAAGGGUGCGUAGGUGGUUAGGUAAGUUAGAUGUGAAAUUCCAGGGCUUAACCUUGGGACGGCGUUUAAAGCUGCCUAGCUAGAGUACUGUAGAGGGAAGUGGAAUUUCCGGUGUAGCGGUGAAAUGCGUAGAUAUCGGAAGGAACAUCAGUGGCGAAGGCGACUUUCUGGACAGAUACUGACACUGAGGCACGAAAGCAUGGGGAGCAAACAGG